AUCUUUCUAGUAACAACUAGUAUAAGUGGCUUCCAACCACAUGGUCCUGGUUUAAAUCCGGGGGAAGAUA
rnacentral:tRNA from 1 species